AGAUAUUUUGAACUAACCUGUUCAGAUGUGGUUGACCGACCUUUGGAGCAGGCAGUGUUGAAGCUAGACCUCCUAGCUCAGAGAUCUCCAGCAUCUGCUGGCUCAGAGCUGCCCUGCACCAACUUCGUCGAUGUCCUACCAGGAAACGUUUUCUGCCCCUUUCAGGCAUUAAAAAAAGCAAGAUGUUACAAUUCAGAGAUAAACAUGCCUCUCUGGAACAUUCCAUCCCUCCCCUUCCCUCUGACUCUAUCCCUUCCUAACCCUACCACCUGUCAUGUAUUUAUUAUCCUUUAUGACUUUCCACUCUCUGAUGCUGAAUGUUCUGUACUCAGCCAAGGUCUGCAUCCCCACCUCAGUGAAAUUUGGGAAUGACAUGACGUUGAACUCUGCUUCUGUCGCCUUCACCUUCAUGCCCAUUUCUUUGGACAAGAGUCCUCUUGCCGUCCCACAGUCCCCUUCAUCCAGUUCCAAGACUCUUACUCCAUCUGGACCCCUCCCUCUGACCAUUGACCUUGUUCAUCAAGAAUUGUCACCGUGAUGUUUACCUCAAUUCCUGUAUCAUCGUCAACCAUUUGAACAUAUCUCCCCCUGAACUGACUGCACUCCCUGCUCUCAGAUCCAACACUGCCAUUGUAAUGAAGCCUGCUGACGAGGGUGGUGCUGUCAUUGUCUGGUGGACUGACCUCUACAUUGUGGAGGCUAAAUGCCAGCUCUCAGACACCUCCUUCUAUCUCCCUCCUUCAAUCUCCCACCCUACUACCCCCGUCCCCCCACCCCACCCCCAGCAUCUCCAAACCCUCGCCCCACACAGGCCAUUUCCACCUCCUUCUCAAAAUCCACAAACAGGACUGCCCGGGUAGACCCAUUGUUUCUGCCUGCUCCUGCUCCACAAAACUCAUCUCUUCCUACCGUGACAUCAUUUUCUUUCUCCCCUUCUCCAGUCCCUUCCCACUUAACAUUGUGGUUCUUCAGAUGCUUUAUGUUAGUUUCAGGAUUUCCAGUUCAUGUGCUCCAGCCGCCUCCUUCUCACUGUGGUUGACAGGGCCCUCAGCUGUGUCUGACCCAUCUCCCACAUUUCUGCCCUCAACGCUUCCCACCCUUCCACAACACUGUUAGGGGCCCCUGACCUUCCCUCAGCACCCCAUCAGCGUCCAUAUCCAGAGGAUUGUCAGCUGCCAUUUCUGUGACCUCGGAUGAGAUGCCACUACUAGACACAUGUUCCCUUCCCCUCACUUGUCAAACUUCCACAGGGACCAUUCCCUCCAGGACACCUUGGUCCACUAUUCCUUCACUCCCAAAACCUCUCCUCAGCCCCUUGGCACCUUUCCAUGCCAUUGUGGGAAGUGUAACACCUACACAUUAACUUCCUCCCUCUUCACUAUCUAAGACCCCAGAUACACCUUUAAGGUGGAUUGUUAUAUUGUUUUUUCACAGGUAACAACUUUCCAACAAAAAGCUCACCAAUUUAUAUACUCAUUUCUAACCAAUGGCGUUUACUCCGUGUUAAUUCCAAGUUGACUGCAGCAUGUGCUUCCAGGAUUUGAACACAACAGUCUAGCCUGACACUCGAAUGUAUUACUGAGGGAGAGCUGCAGUAGUGGAAAUACCAGGCUAAA